rnacentral:lncRNA from 1 species
CCUUCCUGCGGCGGCCGCCACCAGCCGGAAUAGCAACCGGCGGAGCCCGUGCGCACCGCAGCGCAGCGCAGCGGCCGGGGGGUGCGGGCGCCCUCGCCGCCCGGCUACCUACCGCCGCCUGGGCGCCGCCGCUGCCUCCCUUCCCCGCUUCUACCCUCCAGCAGACGCCCGCCGGAGCGACCCCUCCCAGGGUGACCGGGGGAAGGUGUUCCACGUGGCCAUAGCGUUUGCGUCACAAUGACCUGGCGGACAGGUGGGAGCCACAGCGUACACCCCAGGGUUCCCUCUGUGCUGUGCGUAGUGCCUACUGCUUGCUUCCAGGUUAAAUUUCUGUAGCUUUAGAGGACAGGAGACUUCAUGACUUCACUGCCAAGAAAAGUUACAGAGGCCUGCUGUACCUGGAAAUCAAGUUUGAGCUUCGAGAAUAAAGGUCAUGUUUUAAAAACAGCUGUGAAAGAACCAAACCAUUGUUUCUAGAGACCCUGCAGUAUACAGAUCACAGGAAGAAAAAGUGUUGGCAUAGCUGCUUCCUAAUAUUAUCUAUGUGGAAAUGAAACCUCAAUGUAGUAUGACUUCAUCCCUAGUUAUGUUAUACAUUUAUAAAUAAGUUCAUUCAGUCGUCGCUGAAACAAUUUAAAAGGGCCGAAUGAUAGUUAUUGAGUAAUGAUGCUGACGAAUCAGAAAUCCUGCGCUAACAUGGAUGGAGUGCUAGCUCUAUGUCCGGCACAUGCUGUAUGCUUUAUAUUUAAUCCUUACAGCAACCCAAUACUGUAGAUAAAAUCAUUAUCCCGAUUUCACAGAUGAAGACACUGCCCAGAGUGCCAUAAAGAGAUUAUUGAGCAGGGAUUUGAAUCUGAACCAGGAGACUUAGCUUAAUCUCAAGAUAGCAUGGUGUCUUGCCAGAAUGGAUGGAGAAAAAGUAUAGAAUAUGUUGACAUUUUAAUAGAAAGAUAAUAAGAUACCUCCAGAAAUUUACAUAACCUUUAAAGUUAUUCUUUGGGGAUUCUGUUUGUCAUAGAUUUGAGCCUGUCCUAGUCUUAACACGAAUUUUGGAGCUGAGUAAACAUCUCCUUAGUAAGUGUGUAUGAGUAAACAAAUCAUGAAUAUGGUCUACAAAAUAGCAAAUUGUUGAAAAGCUAAGAUUCAGGAGAAAUUUUCAGAGAGAAAAGCAUUGCUUAUAUAUAUUUGGCUUUUAUAAAAAAAAAUUCAAACUAACGUGUUAACAACGCAAGCCAAAUGAUUUUGCUGUAAGAAAAAAAACCCAAAGCCUUUAAAAUGAGAAAGUCUUCCUUACAAAAGAAAGAUGAUUAAGAUAUGUUAAGAUACAUUGAUUCCAAGAACUGUAAAUUUAUGUGUAAAAAGCUAUUAUCGGGAGUUAAAAGGAUAAAGAGAUUAUUAUUCUUUAACAGAAUGAAGUGCCGUAAUGAACAUCAUAGGUGCCCGAUAAAUGUUGACUGAGCGUUAUCAUCAGUUAAUUGAAGCAUUGAGAAAGGACUAAAUCACCUGAAAAGUUUUUCCUGACUCUGUAAUGUUCUCCUUUCUACCAGUUACAUGAAAACUUAAUCAGAAGCCCCAUUGGUCAAAGGCUGGCUUUGGGGCAAAUAUUUAAAUCUGUUACAAAACAGCCAGUAGAAUGGGAGGUUGUGUGUGUGUUCAAAGUAUCCCCUCAAAAUGCAGAUGAUUGGAACAAAAGCAUGAAGGGAAAAAACGGGGACAGCUGAGCUGCAACUGAUUACGCAGUUUUCUUUUAUGCUUUCUGAAUUCCAAGGUGAAAACGAUGACUGUGAGUCUAACCUGUUACAGAGGCUAAAAGUGGCUUCAAAAGCAAUGUCUAAAAGAGAACAAAUACAUGAUACAAGCAUUAUGUAGUCAACAUGGCACUGAAAUUCUUUGGGCUCCCGGAGAGUUUAGGAGAAAACCUUAACUGAUUUUUCUUCAUUCUAAUUAUUGUCCUAACACUUAGCAUAAUAUUUGAGAAAGGAAAUAAUAGACAACUCCUGCUCAUUCUCCAUCACCACAAUGAGUACUUUUCCUUCCCCUUAAAUAAAAUGGCUCCAUCAAUAACACUUGCAUUUGUUUCUGAAUAACCAGCUGUUGUUUCCAUCUUGCAGAACACCAGUAAGGUGCUAGUGAGAACCCGAAACAGUUUCUAAGGAGAAUGGCUAUUGAAUGAUGGGAUCAGAAAUUAGGAGAGAAAUAAGGACCCUGGGCCAGGGAAAGAAAUGAAUGAAGAUGCCACCUUAUGCCCAGAACACAUCUCUCAUUCAAUGAUAAAGGAUUUGUGGUUGGGUCAACUUUUGUGAUGCUCAACUCUUUCCUUCGUAAGGACGGGCUCUUUCUCAGGAGGCUUUUGUACUCCCAAUUAACGCACUGCUAAUCUGAUGAAGCUCUAUUUUGUAGCUAUGCCAUCUGGAUCACAUAGCCUCCAAGGCCAGCAGAGCAGAGGAAGACAAAGAGCAGAGCAAGAUAGAGGUGGAAGUUACACGUCCUUUGUGCUUACUUUCUACUGGCCUCAUCGGGUCGCAAGAUCCCACUCUGAUAGGUGCAUGGGGGCUUGGAAAAUUAGAAAAACAUGUGAAUAUUUGGUAGGCACUUACAAUCUCUGCCAGCAUCUGCCCUUCUAAUCAGCAAAUUUUCAAUUACUUUUUUCUUCACCCACAUAAGACAUCUUAAUCCAACCUCAGGGGACACAUCCUGAUGUCCAAUCUAGUCACUACUUCAAGCUUAAUGGGAUACAUGGGCCUCUCUGUCAUGUCUGCAUGAGGCUCUUCUUGAUCAGUUGACCUAUGAACUGAAAGAAAGCAUAUAUCGUUGUCCUCCACUGUCUAUAUCACUGCAUACAGAGUGGUGGAAAGGAACAGAAUAACGAUGGUAUACAUUCCUAUUUGAAAGGGGAUGAUUAGAGACACAAAACAAUGAUAACAUCUCACUGGUCAGACAUGGUGAAAGUUCCCCUGUGCAGGGGAUGGUAAAUGUUCCUUAAUUAGGCCUUGGUUCUGGUCCUCGAGAGGCAUUCUUUUAUCCAUUGUCCUCUAUGGCUGUAAUCUGUGCCCUCCAAGAUAUUCUUUCUUUUCCAUUACUCUCUGAAGUGGUUGAGGGGGAAUACGUCUUCCUUUGGGGCUGCACGGUUUUCUCAGCAAACUUCUUUCCCACAGAACAUUGGCAGCUUAAGGGUUAUAAGUCUCAAAAUGUCAGUGGCUUUUUUUAGUCCAGGCUCAUGAUUUAUUUAACAAUGCAUUUCCCUCAAACACACAGUAGGCUUCUGAUCUAUUUGCUUUAAAUAACUUUCAUGUGGUAGUAACCACACCUAAAGUUCUUUUCUAGGCAUAAUUCUAAAAUCUGCUUUGUUUCGUUGCUUUCUCACUUCUGUGCAUUUCUCUCUCUUCUAUAUGGGGGCUGUGUUGAAGAUGUCUGACUAAGAGGUAGAAAGUUCACACACUUAAUCUGUUUACACUCUUAAUUGAUUCUCAUCCUAAGUCAUUUCAUCCAAUGGGGACAUUUCACUGUGAUUUUGUGGCAGUCUUUUGAGAUGCCAAGUCUUCCUGUUUAGAGCCUAGAAGUAGUCACUGUUCCAACUUAGAAACUUCCAAAUUUCUGAACGAUUUUUAUUCCUUUCAUUUCUGUUUGCAAGCCAGCCAGGGUUUUCCUGAGCUUAUUUCAUUAUUGUAAUCCUCUGCCAAAUACAGCCAACAUUCACUUUCAACAUUGUUUCCCUAAGUCGUUGGACUCAGAAGCCCCACAGUCUGCCUCCCAAAUUACCACAGGAUUUUAAUUUUUGCCAAAUGGUUUCCUACUGCUUAAAAUGGAUUGCCAUUUUUUCCAGCCUCUAACAUUGGAUUCUUCACUGCCCUCUGCCUAAUUACUAAGUCAUUGCUACACGUUUCAGGUUUCUUUGUGUUGGCCUCUUAUCACUGAUAAAAAUUCUGAAUUUGUUAGGAUAGGCUAGACUAUGCUGUGAAAACAAAUAUCCCCAUUUCAAUUCACUUGCUGAACAAAAUGAAGUUAUCUUUUUUGUUCACACAAAAUCUCCAGGUUCCCGUCUGAUUUCACUUUGGGCUGUGGUUGUGAGUAUUGGAGAAGUAUAAAUUGUGGGGCAAAUGGAAAGGAAGUUCAAGGUGACAUUUUGCUUAGCAAACUCGAAGUGUAUGUUGGUAUUAUUGCUUAGGUAUGGUAUAUUUAUUUGUAUGUUUACAUAGUGUGACUGCCUAAUGGCAUUAAAAAAAUCUAUAGUGCAUGGUUCACUGUUUUCCCUUCGCUGAGAAGAGCAAUGAGUAAGAAUAGAAAUAGGAAUAUAUUUUAUCUGAUGAACCAGGGUGAAAAUUAGCAAAAAAUUUGUGACAGUGGAUAUAUAAAAUAAAAUUUCCCCUUAAGUUAUAUAAUCAUGUUUACACUUUUUGCAUAUGUAACUAAAUGAAUGUAUACUUUCUUCUAGUGGCUUACUGGUAGAAAAUAAACACAGAUGUUUUUGUUUUAUAUUUUACAGCAAUGCUUUCAGUAACCUGGAGAGGUACACAUGGCUGGUAUAACAAUUAUCUUCAUUUAAUGAUGUGGAAACACCUACCACAAGUCCUGGCACAUUGAGGGUCUUGAAUAAAUUCUGUCAGAUGAACGGACAAGCGCACAAAAGGUUGAAAGAGUGAAUGAGGCAGGUUAAAUGACCAGUUCUAGAUUUGUUACUAAGUGACACAGCCUAACUGAGUUUUCUAAUGUUCCACUAACCCUGCUUCCAAGCAGCUUCAGAAUGCAGCUUACAUUUCUGCUAUAAAUAUUUUCUUUAGACUUUUGCUGAUGAAUUGAAGUUUCAUAACAAGAAGAAAGCAGAUGGCUUUUGGGAGGGGUUUAUACUUGCUCUUUUAACUGUGUUUCUGUUUUGCUUGUUUAUGCAGAGUGUGCACAAAGGUUGCCAGAGCCUUAAUUUCAAACUGCAUCAUUUAAUAAAAUACAAUAAGGAGAAUUAAGAAAGAAGGCUGCAGGGGAACAUCCUGCUUAUUAUCUCUGUAAUGAGAGGACUAUUUUUUCUCCCAUCAGUUGCCAAUGAUGAGGUUUUUUGUUUCCUUUUGUGCAGGCACAAUUGUGAUAUUCAACGAGAGUAGUGCGAAGUGCCACUUUACAGCCAAACAUUCAAUUCCUCCUAAUUCACAAGGGAGAGAGGGAUCAAGUUGUGCAGCUGGGAGGUGAUGUUUCUUCCCAGCAGCUGUCAUUGAGGAGACACGUGCAAACCAUAGAAGUCAUUUGUCACAAGAACCCCAUCCAGAAUUUGCUAUGUGCGUCUCACUUGCUAACGUGACAUGAAAUACUGAAGCUUUCAAAAAUCAAGUACAGAGACUUUGUUGUGUUGACAUGGGCAAAAUGAAAUGAAGAGCUGAGGCAAUUAUGUGGAUAAAUCAGGCCAAAAAUAUCCAACCAUUGAGAGGAAAAAGUUCCUUUGGCUCAAAUUAUUCAGAGUGACUGUCCAUGUUCAUCAAUUUAUCAGGAUAAUGAAUUUUAUCCUAUACUUUACUUUGUCACUAUAGAUAUAUCUUUAGUCUAUGAAUUUGAAUGACUUUGUGAUAUUUUACUUCACUGAAAAUUAUAAUAGGGGUUGAAUGAGCAAGCACCGUGUUAAAAGAUUGCUACUGCAGCUAUGAUAAUAGUCCAGGAGAUUUUAAACCCCGUUAUUCAAUAGCUAGCAGACAUAGUUAUUGGAAUGGGGGUAGAGAGGGAGACACGAAAUCUGUUGAGAAUCAAAUGCUUGUAACUAAUCUGUCUUUCCCAUUUAGCAUCCUAUUAUCCAAAAAUAUCUUGGUCUGUAGCUCCCACCUGGUUUCCUGGUCAUUUGACUACUGGUUAAAUGAGCCUGAAAAUUUCAUCAGGUUUCAUAUAAAGAAUAAUAUAUUAUAGUUACAUACAUAUAAAUGUAUAUCUUUGUGUAUUUUUAAUAUCCCUUAUUUAUCUACAAAGAGAUGAAUGUUUGAAAUAUGUGACGGAUAAGCAAGGUCAAUUCUUGUGUCUGCUCAUGCAUUGGCAUUGAGCUUUCUGCUUGGAGUCCUUAGCAUAUUCCGCACUUGAGCCAUCCUUCUUGUUUCUUCAUACUUCCAGAGCCACUAGAAUCACAGGCAAAAGGGCAGGAGCUUCUCCUUGGGGCAGAGGGAGAACCUCUGAGCAUUACCCUGGGUGGUUUGGUCCUGCCAGAGUCUCUUAAACAUUAGAGACAACUCACCAUUUGGAAGUUACAAAUCAUGAAAGUGCUCACUGAAGCAAAAUAAUACCACAUAAGAAAUAAAUGCCUAAUGUUGAUGAACAUUUUAAUCUUUAUUAUAAAAUUAUAACACAAAGAAGAAUCCUGAAGAAUGACCCUAAAGCUUUUGUCACAAUAGCAUUGUAAUGGAAAUACAGGUGUGUUUUCUUUUCUUUCUUUUUUCCUUUUUUGAGACAGGGUCUUGCUUUGUCACCCAGGGUGGUGUGCAGUGGAGCUAUCAUGGCUCACUGUAGCCUCGACCUCCUGGGCUCAAGCAAUCCUCCCACCUCAGCCUAUUGGGCAGCUGGGACUACAGGCAUGCAUAACCACAUCCAGCUAAUUUUUUGUAGAGAUGGGGUUUCUCCAUGUAUUGCCCAGGCUGGUCUCGAACUCCUUGGCUCAAGUGAUUCUCCCACCUUAGCCUCCCAAAGUGCUGGGAUUACAAGCAUGAGCCACCACACCUGGCCUAUGUGUGUUUUAUGAUUAAAAAAGAAAUACAUACAAUUAUUGGGACAGAACAAAAUAAAGAGAAAAAUACAAAUUACCUGUAAUUCAACUAUCCAGAGAUAAUUAUUUUUUACGGACUGAAUGAUGUUCUCCAAAAUUCAUAUGUUGAAGCCCUAGCCCCUAAUGUGAUUAAUAUGGUUUGGCUGUGUCCCCACCCAAAUCUCAUCUUGAAUUGUAACUCCCACAAUUCCCAUGUGUUGUGGGAAGAAACUAAUGGGAGGUAAUUGAAUCAUGGGGACGGGUCUUUCCCAUGCUGUUCUUAUGAUAGUGAAUAAGUCUCACGAGAUCUGAUGGCUUUAAAAAAUGGGAGUUUUCCUGUAUAAGCUCUCCCUCUCUUUGCCUGCUGCCAUCCAUGUAAGACAUGACUUUUUCCUCCUUGCCUUCCACCAUGAUUGUGAGGCCUCGCCAGCCAUGUGGAACUGUAAGUCCAUUAAAUGUCUUUCUUUUGUAAGUUGCCCAGUCUCAGGUAUGUCUUUAUCAGCAGUGUGAAAAUGAACUAAUACAGUAAAUUGGUACCAGUAGAGUGGGUUGCUGCUGUAAAUACCCGAAAAUGUGAAAACGACUUUGGAACUGGGUAACAGGCAGGGGUUGGAACAGUUUGGAGGGCUCAGAAGAAGACAGGAAAACGUGGGACAGUUUGGAACUUCCUAGAGACUUGUUGAAUGACUUUGCCCAAAAUGCUGAUAGUGAUAUAGACAAUGAAGUCCAGCCUGAGGUGGCUUCAGAUGGAGAUGAGGAACUUCUUGGGAACUGGAGCAAAGGUGACUCUUGUUAUGUUUAGCAGCAUUUUGCCCCUGGGCAUUUUGCCCCCAUCCUAGAGCUUUGUGGAACUUUGAACUCGAGAGAGAUAAUUUUGGGUAUCUGGCAGAAGAAAUUUCUAAGCAGCAAAGCAUUCCAGAGGUGACCUGGUUCACCACUUGGGUGCUGUUAAAGGCAUUCAGUUUCAAAAGGGAAAUGGAGAAUAAAAGUUCAGAAAACUUGCAGCCUGACAAUGUGAUAGAAAAGAAAAUCCCAUUUUCUGAGGAGAAAUUCAAGCUGGCUGCAGAAAUUUGCAUAAGUAAUGAGGAGCCAAAUGUUAAUCCCCAAGACAAUGGGGAAAAUGUCUCAAGGGCAUGUCAGAGGUCUUCACAGCAGCCCCUCUCAUCACAGGCCCAGAGGCCAAGGAGGAAAAAGUGGUUUUGUGGGCUGGGCCCAGGGUGCCUCGCUGUGUGCAGUCUAGGGACUUGGUGUCCUGCAUCCCAGCUGCUCCAGCCAUGACUAAAGGGGCCAAGGUACAGCUCAGAUUGUUGCUUCAGAGGGUACAAGCCCCCAGCCUUGGCAUCUUCCAUGUGGUGUUGAGCCUGUGUGUGCACAGAAGUCAAGAAUUGAAGUUUGGGAACCUCUGCCUAGAUUUCAGAGGAUGUAUGGAAAUGCCUGGAUGCCCAGGCAGAAGUUUGCUGCAGGGGCAGGGCUCUCAUGGAGAACCCCUAUGAGGGCAAUGCAAAAGGGAAAUGUGGGGUUGGAGUCCCCACACAGAUCUCUACUGAGACACCACCUAGUGGAGCUGUGAGAAGAGGGUCAUCACUAUCCUCCAGAACCCAGAAUGCUAGAUCCACCAACAGCUUACACUGUUUGCCUGAAAAAGCCACAGACACUCAAUGCCAGCCUGUUAAAGCAGCUGGGAGGGAGUCUGUACCCUUCAAAGCCUGGAUGUGAGACAUCGAGUUAAAGGAGAUCAUUUGGAGCUUUAAGAUUUGACUACCCCACAGGAUUUCAGACUUGCAUGGGGCUUGUAGCCCCUUUGUUUUAGCCAAUUUCUCUCAUUUGGAAUGGCUGUAUUUACCCAAUGCCUGAACCCCCACUGUAUCUAGGAAGUAACUAAUUUGCUUUUGAUUUUAUAGGCUCAUAGGCUGAAGGGACUUGCUUUGUCUGAGACUGUGGACUUUUGAGUUAAUGCUGAAAUGAGUUAUGACUUUGGAGGAAUAUUAGAAAGGCGUGAUUGGAUUUGAAAUGUGAGGACAUGAGAUUUGGAAGGGGCCAGGGGUGGAAUGAUAUGGUUUGGCUGUGUCCCCACCCAAAUCUCAUCUCUAAUUGUAACUUCCACAAUUCCCAUGUAUGAUGAGAGGAAACAGUGGGAGGUAAUUGAAUCACAGGGACGGGUCUUUCCCAUAUUGUUCUUGUGAUAGUGAAUAAGUCUCAUGAGCUCUGAAGGCUUUACAAAUGAGAGUUUCCCUUCACAAGCCCUCUCUCUCCCUCUCUUUGCCUGCUGCCAUCCAUGUAAGACAUGAUUUGUUCCUCCUUGUCUUCCACCAUGAUUGUGAGGCUCCCCAGCCAUGUGGAAGUGUAAGUCCAAUUAAACCUCUUUCUUUUGUAAAUUGCCCAGUCUUGGGUAUGUCUUUAUCAGCAGCAUGAAAACGGACUAAUACAGUGAUAGUAUUUGAAAAGGGGCCUUUGGGAGGUAAACAAGGUUAAACAAGGUCAUGAGGACCCUAAUCCAAUAGGAUUUGUGCCCUUAUGAAAACAGGGAGAGACAAACCAGAGCUCAUUGGCUAUCUCUUCCAUGUUGGGACACACAAAGAAGAUGGCCAUCUCCAAGACAGAAAUGUGAUCAUGCUGGCACCUUGACCCUGAACUUCUAGCCUUUGGAACUGUGAAAAUAAAUUUGUUUUUUACGCCACCCAGUCUAUGGUAUUUUGUUAUGGUAGUCCAAGCUGACUAACACACCACUGUUAAUAUUUUUACAUCCUUUUAUAUUUUAAUAUUAUUCUAUACUAAAAUAUAUAUCUAUCCAUCAACCCAUCCAUCCUUACGUACCUAUAAAGAUGGUGCUAUACGCAAUGGUUUACAUCAGCACUGUAUGAUAGACAUAUAUUGUGAAUCACAUACAUUAAUCACAUACAUUUAAAAUUUUUUUAGUGGCCUCUUUGGAAACAGAAAAAAUGAAAAUAUGAAAUUAAUUUUAGUAAUAUUUUAAAUUUAACCCAACAUAGCCAGAAAAUUGUCAUUUCAACAUGUAAUUAUUUAAAAAUUAUUCUUCAGGCCAGGCAUGGCGGCUCACUCCUGUAAUCACACUUUGGGAGGCCAAGGUGGGAGAACUGCUUGAGGCCAGGAGUUCAAGAUCAGCCUGGGCAACAUAGCAAGACCUUGUGUCUACUAAAAAUAAAAAAAAAUUAGCUGGGCAUGAUGGUGCAUGCCUGUAGUCUCAGCUACUCAGGAGGCUGAAGUGGGAGGAUAACUUGAGCCCAGGAAUUUGAGGCUGCAAUCCUGGUUGUGCCACUGUACUCCAGGCUGAGCAGCAGAGCAAGAUUCCGUCUCUGAAACAAAAAGUUAUUCUUGAGAUAAGUAACUUCUUUUCAAAAUUCUAAGUCUUUAAAAUAUCGUGUAUAUUUUACACAUACAGUACAUUUCAAUUUUGACUGACCACAUUUCAAGUGCUAUUACCACCAUAUUGGAAAGAGCAGUUUUAGAUCGAGGGCUUUCAGUCCUGGGCUGGAGUUGGGCUUCUCUACCUUAUUUGACAAAUGGCGUUAGACAAUUUAUUUAACUUUUUUUUUUUUUUUGAGAUGGAGUCUCACUCUGUCACCCAGGCUAGAGUGCAAUGGUGUGAUCUCAGCUCACUGCAACUUCUGCAUCCUGGGUUCAAGUGAUUCUCCUGCCUCAGCCUUCUGAGUAGCUGGGAUUACAGGUGCCCACAACUACACCCAGCUAAUUUUUGUAUUUUUAGUAGAGACAGGGUUUCACCAUGUUGGUCAGGCUGGUUGCAAACUCCUGAUCUCGUGAUCUGCCUGCCUUGGCCUCCCAAAGUGCUGGGAUUACAGGCAUGAGCCACUGUGCCCGGCGUAUUUACCUUUUUAAAUCCUGGGCUUCUUGUAUUUAAAAUGAAGGUAAUAGAAGCAUCUACUUCAAAGUGUUGUCAUGAUGCCUGAAUAAUCCAAUAUGUAAAGUAUGUAUACUUCAUGGUGGAGAGCACUCAAUAAAUGUUGGCUAAAAUUAUUUUUGUGGUUAUAAAAUGAAUAUUUAUUUUACAAUAAGUGCUAAUUUGAAUUUGAAAUCAUUUCCAACUUAAUAAUAUUUUUCCAUAAAGUCUAAAUUUAUAGACAUGCCAAAAAGUGAAAUGUGUUACCAUCAAAGGUUGUAUCUUCUCAUUGUAGUGUGUGUGUAUUUCCACUCCUGCUUUAGGAGAAGUAUGCUGGUGAGAACAUGCUAUCACAAAAAUCUUCCAGGACUGACAUGUGCCUUUAUUGAACUGAACCCCAAGGUCUGAUGGGCUGCAUUAUGUUGAGCAUUCAGGGAUCAUCUCACUUGUCAUUUUGCAAGAGAAGAGGAAGAAAGAAUAACCUGCUACUCUUCUAAACUCUACUUGGAAAAUUGCAGGAAUUUUAUCAGCCAUCCGUGAGCACAAGAAGAUAUAAGCAAAAGCCACACAGAGAGAAGACCUGUUCUAGACUCUUAUCAGCCAAACACAAUGCCCAAGAAACAGCUAGAAGGUUUCAUUUAACCAGAGAAGAGCUCCUGCUUUGAAAUGUUUUCAAAGUUUCCAUGACAAAAUAUUCUUUCACAGUCUCUGCUUCAGUGAGCUGCUUUGUAUUUCUAGCGCAGCUAAGCAAUUAAAAGAAGAUGAAUAGAUGUAUUCCGGCAUGUGUGAUAACAAAUGGCAUACUUAAGGUGACAAGGUUUUCUGUGUUAACUGGCUUUGCAGUCACUUGCAAGUUUUUGAAAAAUACUCCCUUUUAUCGGAAGUUUUUCCCUUCUUAAUCUCAGCUUAAAGGCUAUUUUUUCUCAAAGCAAAUUGGAGGAGGACUUUUGAAGUCAUCUUUGAUGGGACAAAAUAUAUGUACAUAUUCUCUCUGUGCAAAGGAAUUGCUGCUUUUCUUAUGACAGCUUAAAAUUGAUAAAGUUUUAAGCAUCAAGACAUUCACCAUUACAAAAGAUGCUCAUGUGUCUAUGAAUGAUGAGACUUCCACAGGAAACCAAGGUGGUCCAUUUAAAUUGCUACUCUAUGGCUCCUGUUGGCAGUAAUGUUCAUGUAAACUGGAGAGGCUCUCCAAAGAUCUUGAACUCAGGACAUUUUUGGAUCUAGACUAUUCUUAGGGACAGGAAAUAAUGGGAAUUUAGAUACCAUUUUGAUUGCAAGUUGAUGGAAAGUUGGCAUACCUGUUUGGUGAUUUCCGUCAGCUGGGCAGGGAGAGUAAUAAAUGCAGCUCCUGAGAGGAAUGCUACGUGUGACUUUUAAUGAGCUCAAAGAACUCUUCUGUACUGGUUUGGAGGAAGACACCAGCCCUUGAGAUUUACCAUUUUGGUAGUGACAGAGACCACCAGGAGCUUCCAGCUGCCCUGUCUUGCUGUAAUGGCACUCACUCCAUGCACUUGUCCUCAAUGUGGGUGGUAUCAUCUGAAAGGACAUUUUGGAAAUUUGUGGGUACAUUUCUCAUUACUGCAAUGAUUAUCUGUGCUGCUAGAUUUUGUGGAUAAGGGCCAGGGAUGUCAUAUACAAGACAGACCUAAGCAAGAGAGAAUCAUCCUACUGCUGUACAAAUUGCAGUAGCAUUCCAGAUAUUCCAUCGACUAAGACCUAACUCCAUCUUUCAUGGAAUGCUAUUGUGCUUCCAUUGUUUCAAUAUUCUUCAAAUUUUCCUGUAGUGGAACUCCCAUGCAAAUUGGGGUUUGGUCUUACUUUGUUUGGAAUUUUUCAAGAGUUUCACACCACUUAGCAAAAUCACAUCUUUGAAGGUAAUGGCACUUGUGGCACUUGGGUUGCCAACACAACACACAUGCAUUGGUCUACACUGGCAGCUGUAGCAUUCAUAGGAUACUAUGUACCCUGUACCCAGGCUGGAGUACAGUGAAUGGAACAAGCAUCUGAGUAAUUCAUUAUGACUUCUAAUGCAAUCAUGCCUAAGUAUUUCCUUCUAUUUCUUUUGUUUUUUUCUUCAUAUUACUGUUAGGCCAUUCUAUUGUCCUUUAAAAACUUAGGUUUGUAUGUUAUUAUCUAUGAAUUUUAUUUCAGGAAAGUAAAGCAGGCUGUAUAAAAUGUCUGAAGGAGGCUGGGCACAGUGGCUCACGCCUGUAAUCCCAGCACUUUGGGAGGUUGAGGUGGGCAGAUCACAAGGUCAGGAAUUUGAGAACCAGCCUGGCCAAUGUAGUGAAACCCCGGGCAUGGUGGUGUACACCUGUAAUCCCAGCUACUUGGGAGGCUGAGGCAGGAGAAUCAAUUGAACCCGGGAGGCAGAAGUUGCAGUGAGCCGAGAUCAUGCCUGGGCCACAGGGGGAGACUCCAUCUAAAAAAAAAAAAAAAAAAUCUGAAUCCUGGGUCUGACUGGCUUAAGAUUCACCACUUUAUUGGCCCCUAAAUUAAGAAGCCAGGGAGGGAAUUCUGUCAGCUGAUGAGCCAGCAAUGCCAUAUCCAAGAAAAGGGGAAAUAAUCUCUAAUUGUGAGAUUCCACCCAGACUACAAUAAAAUGUUCUUGGUUCAGAAUUGAUCAAUAUUCAUCAGCAGACUUGCAUAUGACCCUCUCUCACAGGUGAAACACCUGUGGUGCUUAGGGUGACCAAGUUUUAAAGUUAGCUUCAGCAAGUGACUAAGAGUCCCCAGUGCCACAGAUUCUCUUUGAAGUUUAGGGAAAAGAUUCACAGUAAAUGCUUGUGUGUUGCAAAGCCCUCCUCAAGGACCUGCAGAUUCUUCCUCAGCUAAGGAGCUCUGUAUCUGUGAGAUAUGUGAUUGUUAGGCCUCUAUUCACCAGCCUGGAGACUUAGUUACAGCAUCAAGAUGCACUUUGGUAGUCUACUCAUUUAUUUUGGUGCUAUGGACCUCAUGGUCAAUUAUCCUCUGUGGAAAAGCCCACUUAAGUCAGCCACUGCAAUUUUCACCCUGGCCCUUCUUUUUGUUGUGGUAGGUAUUACCGUUUUCUGUUGGCAUUUCAUCAGGGCUCCUGAGUCUCCGCCAUCUCAGGAUCCUGCUAUCACCAAGGAAAUAUAAGAGCUCAUUUCACUGCAGUGUCUCCUACCAGUGUCCUGGCAUUAGGAAAGAACCACUUAAGUGCUUUUCAGAGAUGCUAGCAGUCUUCUUGCCAGUGUAUUUCCCAAGGCUAUGGUGAACAAAGUGUCACGUGCCCUUGAAGGACAAGUUAGAGGAUGGGUGAAGAUGAAUAUGACUCAUCCAUUUUGGUAUUCUUAUAUUAUUAGUUCUCUAUAUAUCUUCUUGUUUAUUAUACCAAGAUUAAAAUUUUAUUAAAAAUUAUUUUAUAGAGACAGAGUUUUGCUUUGUCACCCAGGUUGGAGUACAGUGAUUUUAUGACAGCUCAUGGCAGCCUCAAUUCCGUGGGCUCUAGCUAUCUUCCUACCUCAGUCUCUGGUGAAUUUUUAAUUUUGUUGUAGAGACGGGGUCUUGCUAUGAUGCCCACACUGAUCUCGAACUCAUGGGCUCAAGCAAUUCUCCUGCCUCAACAUCCAAAAGUGCUGGGAUUACAGGUGUGAACCACUGCACCCAAUCAAGGCUGUUUUUCUUUUUCUGGCAUGCCAACUUCAUUUAGUAUUAUCUACUGUCAUGUCUAGGUUUCAGGAAAAUCAUCCUAAUGUCAAUCAAAACCACUUGUAGCUGCUUGAAUUAGUUGAUCAAAUACAUAAUCUUUGGUGAAUGUACUUGUGCUGAAUACAUUUGUUUGAGCACCUUGAGAAUUCAUUUCCACACAUAUUCCCAGAUUUUUCUGACAUGAAAUUGUAGAGCCCAGAAAUUCUUUUGGUAUAUAAGACUUCUCAAGUGUUUGACUUUCAAAUUGUAUUCCCAAGACAUUCUGGGAUCUGACUACAUAGUUUUAAGACUAGUAGUAGAGAGAAAUGAAGGAUAAAGAGAGAAUUGGCUUUUCCUUGCAAAGCAAGUUCUUCAUAUGAUAUUACUAGGGGGUCUUCAAGUACAGUAGAGAUAACUUCAUCAGACAGGGAUGGAAGAGCUGAACCUUCUGUGGCAGUUGAAGGUUCAAGGCAUUUAAAGUUCUCCAAAUCUUCCCACAUAUAGUGUAUUCAUCAGCUUGGUCUACCAUAACAAAAUACCAUAGACUGGGUGGCUUGAACCAUAAGAAUGUAUUUAUUAUAGUUCUGAAGGCUGGGAAGUCCAAGAUCAAAGUUUUAGCUGAUCUGGUUCCCUGGUGAGGGCUUUCUUUCUGAUUUGUGGAUGGCUGCUGAUACGACUUGGUUGUUUUGUCCUCUCCAUAUCUCAUGUUGAAAUGUGAUCCCCACUGUUGGAGAUGGGACUUGGUGGGUGGAGUCAUGUUAGAGUCACGGGGAGUAGAUCUCUCAUGAAUGACUUUGUUCCAACCUUGUGGUAAUGAGUAAGUUCCCGCUCUACAAGUUCAUUCGAGAUCUGGUUGUUAAAGAAGCUUGGCAUCUCCUCCCUCUCUGUCACAUGUAGCAUGCUGGCUCCCCUUCCCCUUCUUCCAUGAUUGUAAGCUUCCUGAGACUCUCACCAGAAGCAGAUGCCAGUAAUAUGCUUUGUGUACAGCCUGUAGAACCACGAACCAACUAAACCUCUUUUCUUUAUAGGUUACCCAGUUUCAUAUAUUCCUUUAUAGCAAUGCAAACAGACUAACACAGCAACACAGCUGCCUUCCUCCUGUGGCCUCACAUGGCAGAUAGAGAGAGAGAAAGAGAGAGUGAGAGAGAGAGUGAGAGAGAGAGAGAGAGAGAAGGAGAUAGAGGGAAUGAGGUGGGGAAGCAAACUCUCUGGUGUCUCUUCUUAUAGGGGCACUAAUCCCAUCAUAAUGUUCCUACCCUCAUCUAAAACUAAUUACUUUCCAAAGGCCCUAUCUCUAAAUACCAUUAUAUUGAGGGUUUGGGCUUCCAUAUAUUUGAAUUUUAGGGGGAUACAGGUCAGUCCAUAGUACUAUAUAUCCUCAGUACAAUUCUCAGAGUUUGAUUACUUUCCAAUUCACAUGCUAAUUUUCACAUAUGAUGCAUGGUAAACAUAUGAAUUCGGAUAAUAUGAUUCAGUAACUUACAGGAUAAAUAUCCUCAAUUAUUGUUAAUUUCCAACCACCCCCUGGCUCUUUGUGUCACUCCCUCAAUAUUCAAAAUCCAUUGAGUAUCUGAUUGGAUAAGCCUAGGUUGCUGACACACAUCCUGGUUGUCUUCCACCAUGGGAGGUAAAGCCCUGAAUUCUUCACCUCUUGGGGCUUUCCCUAAAUCAGCUCAGGUUUGGGUAGACAAAAUGAAAUAAAAUAAAAUAAAUAAAACACAACAACCCACAAACCCAACUAUUUAUUAUAAAGAUGUUUAGAUAUUUUUCUUCAUUUUCAUGCUAUUUUAAAUGACAGUCUGGUAAAUAGCAAGGUUUUUGGUUAUUUUCAGGAUAGAUUCUCAGAAGCAAAGUUUUUGAGUCAAAGGUCUUAUAAAAAUUUUAAGACUUAUGAUAUAUACUGUCAAGUGACUUUUAAAAAUUUUUGUACCAAUUUUGUUCUCACUCCAGCCAUAUUGGACUGAUCCCAUUUCAUUGCGCCCACACUCCCACUGACCAAGACAUUUUCUUUUCUGUCAACAGUCCAUCAUUCUUUCUUGAAAACAUUACUGUCUUAUCUUUUAAUGCAACUUAGCAUUUCCCCACUGCUUUCUUGAUUUCUUCUGUAGCCCCUUAAGAAUACAUGGAGUGAGAAGGACACAAUGUCAUUUCUUUGGGAUUCUUGCCCCAAAUAUACAACCCUUAAGCUGAUUAUGAGAGAAUGUCAAACUCACUUGGAUAUUCCACAAAAAACCUGGCCUUCAAAAGUGUCAAGGUCAUAAAGACAAAGAAAGACUCAGAAGUUGUCCCUGACUAGGAGAGACUAAGGAGAUAAGAUUACUAAAUGCAAAGUGAGAUCCUGAACUGGGUCCUGGACCAGAAAAGGGCUAUUCAUGGAAAAACUAGUGAAAUUUGAAUAAUCUUUGUAUAUUAGUUAAUGAUAUAAUCUCUAUGUUUAUUUCCUGGUUUUGAUAAUUUCACUAUGGUUAUAUAAGAUGUUAACAUUAAGAGAAGCUGGGUGAAGGGUGUAUGAUAGUACCUUUCUGUACCUGUAUCAUGACUUUUCUGUAAGUCCAAACUUAUUUCAAAAUAAAGUUAAAAAACACUCCUGGUUUGUGAUGCUUAUAUCUUGUGUUUUGUCUGUAAAUAGUAAAAAAUAAGCAGCAAAAGUUAGUGUAGGGAUCCUGGUCUUAUUUCUUCUCUCCCCUAUUUUUACUUUCCAGUGUCUCCUUAUCUUAUGAAUAAUGGUAAAGAGGUGUCAUAAAUGUGGCAAAUCCCCCAUACCUCAUCCAAGGCAGACAUAGCUAACGGAUCCAGAGUCUUUUUCCAGUUGAGCUCAUUUUCUGCCAUCAUGGCUUGGUUGGAAUUGUCAUGCUAGUUAAGAUGUACUUAUUGUCUCUGCAUGAUGGGAUGCCUUACUGUUCUGUAAUUCUUAAUUGAUUUCUGAAAUUUGAUUUGAAACCAUGUAUUUGCACCACUUUACAUUUUAAUACAUGCUUCAUUUUUUCUAAAGUUUUCUUUAAAUAAUUUAAGUAUGCUUCUUCCAUUUGUUUCAUAACCAUGUACUCUGAGCUCUUUAAGCUGUGCUUGACAUUUUGUUAUUUCAG